rnacentral:lncRNA from 1 species
GCUAGCUAAUUGGCCACUGCGUGGUGAUUGUGCCUCAAAAUUGUAUAAAGGAAACCAUAUUAGCACUCAUAUUGCUUAAGGAUAAUGGUAAAUGUGGGGCACCCGGGAGGCUCAGUUGGUUAAGCAACCAAUUUGGUUUCUGCUCAGGUCCUGAUCUCGGGGUCCUGAGAUCAAGCCCUGCUCUCAGGCUCCAGGCUCAGUAUGGAGUCUGCUUGAGAUUCACUCCCUCUCCCUCCCUCCGUCCCCUCCCCCCCCACUAGUAAAGAAAGAAAGAAAGAAAGAAAGAAAGAAAGAAAGAAAAGAAUAACAGUAAAUGUUAUAUCUAUCUUAAGUGCCCACUACAGCAAAUUUUAAACUAUACUUUAUGCCAGUGAGGAAAUGUGAAGAGCACACUUCUAUAACCUUUUAGGAAAGAAAUUUAAUACUAAAGGUCAAGAACUUGUAACGCUUUUGUUUUUGUUUUUUUCUUAGUCUGGGAAAGUCCAUCGUCUGAAAGCCAAUUUGAAUAAAAUAAUUCAAAACAGAGAGAGAGCUUUCUGCCCUCCAAGAUGCUUUUCUCAGAUUUGUUAGAAACAGCCCAAGUUUCCACCAACAUGCGGAUGUAGACCCCUUCAACUAUGUCUCUUCUGCUCUUUUGUGUGGAGAAUUUGUGACCCUGCUCUGCUUCCCUCCACAUUCCAUUGUGAUGGCAGAUUGGAUCAGGAUGGACACCCGCCUCAAGUUGGGCAAAUUGGAUUCUCUCUCUUGGGAAUUUAAAAUUGAAGAAUCAGGGCACCUGGGUGGCUGUUGGUUGAGCGACUGCCUUCGGCUCAGGUCAUGAUCCCGGACUUCCAGCUCCCAGCUCCUUGGGGAGUCUGCUUCUCCCUCUGAUCUUCUCUCUCAUGCUUUCUCU